rnacentral:rRNA from 1 species
GUGGGGGAUGACGGCCUGCGGGUUGUAAACUCCUUGCGCUAGGGACGAAGCGCAAGUGACGGGACCUGGAGAAGAAGCACCGGCUAACUACGUGCCAGCAGCCGCGGUAAUACGUAGGGUGCGAGCGUUGUCCGGAAUUACUGGGCGUAAAGCGCGCGUAGGCGGCUUGUUAAGUGUGAAGUGAAAUCUCUGGGCUCACCCCAGAAACUGCUUCGCAUACUGGCAGGCUUGAGGGACGGAGAGGUGAAUGGAAUUCCUGGUGUAGCGGUGAAAUGCGUAGAUAUCAGGAGGAACACCGAUGGCGAAGGCAGUUCACUGGCCGUUUCCUGACGCUGAGGCGCGAAAGCGUGGGUAGCAAACAGGAUUAGAUACCCUGGUAGUCCACGCCCUAAACUAUGGAUACUAGGCGUUGGAGGUAUCGACCCCUUCAGUGCCGCAGCAAACGCAUUAAGUAUCCCGCCUGGGGAGUACGGCCGCAAGGUUGAAACUCAAAUGAAUUGACGGGGACCCGCACAAGCGGUGGAGCAUGUGGUUUAAUUCGAUACUAACCGAAGAACCUUACCCAGACUUGACAUCGAAGGCAAGCUCAUGAAAGUGAGCCCUCCCCACAAGGGACCUGAAGACACUUGUUGCAUGGCUGUCGUCAGCUCGUGCCGUGAGGUGUACGGUUAAGUCCGCCAACGAGCGCAACCCACGUCCUGUGUUACCAGCGAGUAAAGUCGGGCACUCACAGGAGACCGCCGGUGUAAGCCGGAGGAAGGUGUGGAUGACGUCAAGUCAGCAUGGCAGUUACGUCUGGGGCUACACACAUGCUACAAUGGAUGAAACAAAGGGUCGCAAUACCGCGAGGUGGAGCAAAUCCCAAAAAUACGUCCCCAGUUCAGAUUGCAGUCUGCAACUCGACUGCAUGGAGGCGGAAUCGCUAGUAAGCGCAGGUCUAUCGUGACUGGGAAAC